GAUGAAGAACGUAGCGAAAUGCGAUACGUAAUGUGAAUUGCAGAAUUCAGUGAAUCAUCGAGUCUUUGAACGCACAUUGCGCCCCCUGGUAUUCCGGGGGGCAUGCCUGUCCGAGCGUCAUUGCUGCCCUCAAGCACGGCUUGUGUGUUGGGCCUCCGUCCUCCUCCCGGGGGACGGGCCCGAAAGGCAGCGGCGGCACCGCGUCCGGUCCUCGAGCGUAUGGGGCUUCGUCACCCGCUCUUGUAGGCCCGGCCGGCGCUUGCCGACACAUCAAUCUUUUUUCCUGGUUGACCUCGGAUCAGGUAGGGAUACCCGCUGAACUUAAGCAUAUCAAUAAGCGGAGA
rnacentral:misc_RNA from 1 species